rnacentral:telomerase_RNA from 1 species
UGAGUCAGAGUACGCCUCCUAACCCUAUUUAUUGUUUGUUUUCUUGUCUGUUGUACUUACUGUUUUAUCUCUAGCUUUCAGUAAGUUACAGGAAACUUCCCGCCGGUUCCGGUACCUUUAAAAAAGCUCGGAGAGUACUCUCUUGCGCUCACUCUUUCCGGUUCGAGCGACUCGUGCUGUGGACAGCAAGGCUGCCGCGAAGAGUUCUCCUCUGCUGCACUGCGCUUCUUACCGGAGAGGCUUCAGAACUGAGCAGAGUAAACUGAGUGGGGCUACUGUCUGCACAUCCUCCUAAUGGUGGUGCAGAAUAGCCCCCGCUCAAACACCA